CAAUAGCGUAUAUUAAAGUUGUUGCAGUUAAAAAGCUCGUAGUUGAACUUCUGGUCAAGCGUGACCUUGGCUUCGGUCGAGGCAGGCAUGGCCAUCCGUCAGAAAACCAGGGAGGGUCUUAAGUGAUCGCUCUGGGGAUCUGACACUUUACUUUGAAAAAACUAGAGUGUUCAUGGCAGGCUAACGCCCUGAAUACACAAGCAUGGAAUAAUAGAAUAGGACUGGGUCCAUUUUGUUGGUUAUUGGACGCAGUAAUGAUAAUAGGAGUAGUUGGGGGUCGGAUUAGUACUUAACUUAGUUCAGAGGUGGAAAGUUACUUCCGAUUUGUUUAAAGAACUAACCUUAAUUGCGAAAGACAUUUGUCCAAGGAUGUUUUCUAUUAAUUCAAGAACGAAAGUUAAGGGGAGUCAAAGAAUGAUUAGAUACCAU
rnacentral:rRNA from 1 species